GGGUAAUGGUCUUGUCCGCCUCAGGUUACGAUUCAAGGAUGGCUGUAUAAUGAUAUACGUCAUAGUAAACAAAAGACUGUGCUGGGUUUUUCUAUGUAAAUGAUUUGAAACUUGAAAUACGCAUAAGAAUAUAAUGUAGUGUGUUGAAAUAUCGUUUCUUUUCAUAACUGAUUUAAUUAUCUAGUCUAUGCAUAUGUAUUUACAGUUCUCCCCUAAAUCUAAAUUAACCCCUUCCUAUUAUAACAUUAAGUUUACAACACCAAGGCUUCAUACAGAUUUCCUUGGACGUAGCGAAUUAUUAAACUAUAGUCCAAACUUAAAACCUCUCUUAGCUUUUGAUAGCAAGUUCUUAGCAGUCGUUCCUACACUAAUUAUUCAGUUUCUUAACAAGUCCAACUAGCUGCAGUAUUUCCUAAUCAUUG